rnacentral:rRNA from 1 species
UAAUGGCAGGUCAGCAUACUGCCGUGAAUACGUUCCCGGGCCUUGUACACACCGCCCGUCACACCAUGAGAGUUGGAGAUACCCGAAGCCUGUGAGCUAACAGAAAUGGAGCAGCAGUCGAAGGUAGAAUCAAUGAUUGGGGUGAAGUCGUAACAAGGUACC